GAACACAACUUUCCCGCUUAGCGGGAUAACUUUCUGUCGUGUCAGCAACUUUUCAAUUCAAUUGAUGUUCAGUGCCACGUCACAGCCGAAACUAACUUUACCCGGUAAGCGGGAUAAAGUUUCUCCAUAUGAACAGAACAAAAGUAUUUGGCUAGUCGAAAAGUUUUCUCAUUAACCGGGAUAACUUUUGCCCAUAUGAACAGGCCCUUAGUACUGACACAGAGUAGAUAAGACAUACAGAGACGUAACUGACCGUUGUAAACACUGCGGAAGAUUACGUUAUCAUGUACCCACUUUUUUUCAGGCGACCGGGCGAAAAAUGAUCAACUGCGCG